rnacentral:rRNA from 1 species
GACAGAGGGUGCAAACGUUGUUCGGAAUUACUGGGCGUAAAGCGCGUGUAGGCGGCCAUCUAAGUCGGGCGUGAAAUCCCACGGCUCAACCGUGGAAGUGCACUCGAAACUGGAUGGCUAGAGUCCUGGAGAGGAAGGUGGAAUGCUUGGUGUAGAGGUGAAAUUCGUAGAUAUCAAGCGGAACACCGGUGGCGAAGGCGGCCUUCUGGACAGUGACUGACGCUGAGACGCGAAAGCGUGGGGGAGCAAACAGGG